rnacentral:rRNA from 1 species
UACAGAGGUCUCAAGCGUUGUUCGGAUUCAUUGGGCGUAAAGGGUGCGUAGGUGGCGCGCUAAGUCAGGUGUGAAAUCUCGGGGCUUAACUCCGAAACUGCAUUUGAUACUGGCGUGCUUGAGGACUGGAGAGGAGACUGGAAUUCAUGGUGUAGCAGUGAAAUGCGCAGAUAUCAGGAGGAACACCGAUUGCGAAGGCAGCUCGCUGGAACGUUACUGACGCUGAGACGCGAAAGCGUGGGGAGCAAACAGG